AAUGUUGAGAAAACAGGUGCUAGAGCCCAGGAGAUACCAUCCUUCCGGGAGGACUUUAGAGCCCAUUGUGUGGGCUCAUUUGGAGCUGUAACAAUAACUGGGGGUUGUUAUGGCAUUCACCCGGCUGCAGGGGCCAAGGUUGCUAAAACGUCCUCCUAAGCCUGGGAUAGUUCCACACACAAUGGAGAACUGCAUCACCCUCCUUGUGAAGCUACUCCGAUGGCAGGAGAGCUGGCUGACAAAAAGGACCGUGAUGCAUCACCUUCCAAGGAGGAAAGGAAGCGAUCGCGGACUCCUGACAGAGAGCGGGAUAGAGACCGGGACCGGAAGUCUUCCCCAUCUAAAGAUAGAAAGCGGCAUCGUUCAAGGGAUAGACGUCGAGGAGGCAGCCGUUCUCGCUCUCGUUCCCGUUCCAAAUCUGCAGAAAGAGAACGACGGCACAAAGAACGAGAACGAGAUAAGGAGCGGGAUCGGAAUAAGAAGGACCGAGAUCGAGACAAGGAUGGGCACAGACGGGACAAGGACCGUAAACGAUCCAGGCACUGAAGUAAGAGUGAUGUGG
rnacentral:sRNA from 1 species